GAUGAAGAACGCAGCGAAAUGCGAUAAGUAAUGUGAAUUGCAGAAUUCAGUGAAUCAUCGAAUCUUUGAACGCACCUUGCGCCCUUUGGCUAUUCUGAAGGGCAUGCCUGUUUGAGUAUCGUGAACACCUCAACUCUUUAUGGUUUUCCAUGAUGAGCUUGGACUCUGGGGGUUUUGCUGGCUCACAGUCGGCUCCUCUAAAAUGAAUCAGCUUACCAGUGUUUGGUGGGUAUCAUGGGUGUGAUAACUAUCUACGCUUGUGGUUUUUCCACCAGGUAACCUUCAGCAGUGGAGGUUCGCUGGAGCUCAUAGAUGUCUCUCCUCAGUGAGGACAGCCCUUUGAAUGUUUGAUCUCAAAUCAGGUAGGACUACCCGCUGAACUUAAGCAUAUCAAUAAGCGGAGGA
rnacentral:misc_RNA from 1 species